UACGAAGGGGGGCUAGCGUUGCUCGGAAUGACUGGGCGUAAAGGGCGCGUAGGCGGAUGGCACAGUCAGAUGUGAAAUUCCCGGGCUUAACCUGGGGGCUGCAUUUGAUACGUGUGAUCUAGAGUGAGGAAGAGGGUCGUGGAAUUCCCAGUGUAGAGGUGAAAUUCGUAGAUAUUGGGAAGAACACCGGUGGCGAAGGCGGCCUGCUGGGCAGUAGCUGACGCUGAUGCGCGACAGCGUGGGGAGCAAACAGG
rnacentral:rRNA from 1 species